ACCAGUGGCAAAAGCACUCUAAUUGAGCCAGUUCCCAACAAAUCGCCGAAGUUAACCAACGUUGUGCGUGGUUCGUAUCUGGACGGGUGACCGUCUGUGACAACGCCGCGCGCUGGCUGUUU
rnacentral:rRNA from 1 species